rnacentral:lncRNA from 1 species
AAACUGGAAGCCGCACCGUGAAUAUGCUUUGAUGUAGAGUUUUCCAUCCCAGAUCAUCCCAGGAUCUAGAAACUAGUUUAAUGUAAAGGAUCGUCCAUUCAUCUCGGCUUCCCAGAGGAUGCUUCGUUAUCCAUCUGUCACUGAUCCCUGUGUCGACUGGCAUCCAUAUUUGAUGUAGCAUAGAAUUCAACUCUUAUUUUUAUUAUAUUUUUGUAGAUAUCCACUUGGAACUUUCAAAAUAAUUUUAUGUACUAUCAAAAGUUUUUUAUUAAAAAUAAUUACGUUGGCACUAAGAACCAACAUGAACAAAUGUACAGAUCAAAACCCAUUAAUCACCAAGACCUAAAUCUAUCCACAUGUUCCAAAACCAUACCGUGAACGGUUCAUCAAAAUUGGCGGAGAGCCAAUAAGCUCGCCUGCCGAGGCAACGGAGGAAAUGGUACCUGCCAGAUAAGCGCAGCCCAUCCAGCGAGACGAAUUCUGCUUGGUGGGUGCCACACCAACAUACAAGGUCAGGAAUUG